GGUGAGAGCCUGAUCCAGCCAUCCCGCGUGAAGGACGACAGCCCUAUGGGUUUUAAACUUCUUUUGUAUGGGGAUAAACCUAUCUACGAGUAGAUAGCUGAAGGUACCAUACGAAUAAGCAUCGGCUAACUCCGUGCCAGCAGCCGCGGUAAUACGGAGGAUGCAAGCGUUAUCCGGAUUUAUUGGGUUUAAAGGGUCCGUAGGCGGAUUUGUAAGUCAGCGGUGAAAUCCUACAGCUUAACUGUAGAACUGCCGUUGAUACUGCAAGUCUUGAAUAGUAUUGAAGUAGCCGGAAUGUGUAGUGUAGCGGUGAAAUGCAUAGAUAUUACACAGAACACCAAUUGCGAAGGCAGGUUACUAAAUACCGAUUGACGCUGAUGGACGAAAGCGUGGGGAGCGAACAGGAUUAGAUACCCUGGUAGUCCACGCCGUAAACGAUGGAUACUCGCUGUUGGGCUUUAGGGCUCAGCGGCUAAGCGAAAGUAAUAAGUAUCCCACCUGGGGAGUACGACCGCAAGGUUGAAACUCAAAGGAAUUGACGGGGGCCCGCACAAGCGGUGGAGCAUGUGGUUUAAUUCGAUGAUACGCGAGGAACCUUACCAGGGCUUAAAUGGGAAUUGACGUAAUUGGAAACAGUUAUUUCUUCGGACAAUUUUCAAGGUGCUGCAUGGUUGUCGUCAGCUCGUGCCGUGAGGUGUCAGGUUAAGUCCUAUAACGAGCGCAACCCCUGCCAUUAGUUGCCAGCGAUUCAAGUCGGGAACUCUAAUGGGACUGCCGGUGCAAACCGCGAGGAAGGUGGGGAUGACGUCAAAUCAUCACGGCCCUUACGCCCUGGGCCACACACGUGCUACAAUGGCCGGUACAGAGGGCAGCUACACAGCAAUGUGAUGCGAAUCUCUAAAGCCGGUCUCAGUUCGGAUUGGAGUCUGCAACUCGACUCUAUGAAGCUGGAAUCGCUAGUAAUCGUGAAUCAGCAAUGUCACGGUGAAUACGUUCCCGGGUCUUGUACUCACCGCCCGUCACACCAUGGGAGUUGAAC
rnacentral:rRNA from 1 species